CACGUAGGGCGCAAGCGUUGUCCGGAAUUAUUGGGCGUAAAGAGCUCGUAGGCGGUCUGUUGCGUCCGCUGUGAAAACCCGGGGCUUAACCCUGGGCUGGCAGUGGAUACGGACAGACUAGAGGUAGGUAGGGGAGAAUGGAAUUCCCGGUGUAGCGGUGAAAUGCGCAGAUAUCGGGAGGAACACCGGUGGCGAAGGCGGUUCUCCGGGCCUUACCUGACGCUGAGGAGCGAAAGCGUGGGGAGCGAACAGG
rnacentral:rRNA from 1 species